rnacentral:lncRNA from 1 species
GUGAAGCAAAAAUCACGUGCUUACAAUAAUUACAAUUUAUAUCUUUUGUGUAAGCUUAUAAUGUUUUGUUUAUUAGCUAUGAAUUAGUUUCAAAUGACUAGUGUUUCAAUUGAUUAUUUAACAUUGUAUUUUAUAGAAACCUAGGGUUUAAGUUGUAUUUAUCAUUAUUUAACAUUUUAUAAAAAUCUAGGAUUUAUAGAAAUCUAGGAUAUAAAUCGAAACUUUUAGGAUAUGAGUUGAAUUUUUAGAAUAUGAAUUGAAACUUUUAGGAUAUGAGUUGAAUUUUUAGGAUAUAAAUAGAAAUUUUAGGAUAUGACUUGAACUUUUGUGGAUAUGAAUUGAACCUUUAGGAUAUAAAUUGAACAUUUAGUUUAUGUUUAAACGCGUAGGAUAAGAAUUGAUGAACUUUUAGUUUUUAGGUUUUGUUCUUGUGAAUUGAACUUGUACGAUAUAAAUUGAAGCUUUUAUGUACGACUUGAACUUUUUACGAUAUGAGUUGAAACUUUUAGGAUAUGAGUUGAACUUUUAGGAAAUAAAUUGAACCUUUAGGAUAUGUAUUGAGCCUUUAGGAUAUGACUUGAAGUUUUAGUUUAUGUUUAAACUCGUAAGAUAUGAAUAUAACUUUUAGUUUUUAGGUUUUGUUCUUGUGAAUUGAACUUGUAGGAUAUAAAUUGAAGCUUUUAUGUAUGACUUGAACUUUUUAGGAUAUGAGUUGAACUUUUAGGAAAUAAAUUGAACCUUUAGCAUAUGUAUUGAACCUUUAGGAUAUGACUUGAACUUUUAGUUUAUGUUUAAACUCGUAGGAUAUGAAUAUAACUUUUAGUUUUUAGGUUUUGUUCUUGUAAAUUGAACUUGUAG